GACGAACGCUGGCGGCGUGCUUAACACAUGCAAGUCGAACGGAAAGGCCCUGCUUUUGUGGGGUGCUCGAGUGGCGAACGGGUGAGUAACACGUGAGUAACCUGCCCUUGACUUUGGGAUAACUUCAGGAAACUGGGGCUAAUACCGGAUAGGAGCUCCUGCUGCAUGGUGGGGGUUGGAAAGUUUCGGCGGUUGGGGAUGGACUCGCGGCUUAUCAGCUUGUUGGUGGGGUAGUGGCUUACCAAGGCUUUGACGGGUAGCCGGCCUGAGAGGGGGACCGGGCACAUGGGGACUGAGAGACGGCGCAGAAUGCUACGGGAGGCAGCAGGGGGGAAUAUGGCACAAUGGGCGGAAGCCAGAUGCAGCAACGCCGGGUGCGGGAUGACGGCCUUCGGGGGGUAAACCGCUUUGGCCGGUGACGAAGCGGGAGUGACGGUAAUGGGUAAAGAAGCACCGGCUAACUACGUG
rnacentral:rRNA from 1 species